AUGUAAUGAAGAGGAGAAGACCAAUGGUAUCUGAACUUGACACGAUCAGCCCAAUCACACAAGCUUGACAGGUCUCCUUGUGCAGAUUCAGGUGAUGGUGUGGCCUUCAAUACCCCAGCCAUGGACGUUAGGUGCUGAGUAAAGAAACAAAGCAGUGAUGAUCAUCACUACAUGUUAUAUGGUGAUGAAGAAUGGAGACGUAUAAGGAAGUGAAUCCGCAGAUCUUUAUGGAGGAAAGAUGUGUGUAUUGGUGUGAAAAGCUUGUUAAGGUCAAAGUGAAAGAUGGUAUAUUAUAUUUUGGUAGGUAUGGA